UCCAGACUCCUACGGGAGGCAGCAGUGAGGAAUAUUGGUCAAUGGCCGGGAGGCUGAACCAGCCAAGUCGCGUGAGGGAAGACGGCCCUACGGGUUGUAAACCUCUUUUGUCAGGGAGCAAGGUGCAGGUCGGGACCUGCUGUGAGAGUACCUGAAGAAAAAGCAUCGGCUAACUCCGUGCCAGCAGCCGCGGUAAUACGGAGGAUGCGAGCGUUAUCCGGAUUUAUUGGGUUUAAAGGGUGCGUAGGCGGAAUGCCAAGUCAGCGGUAAAAUCGCGGGGCUCAACCUCGCUCCGCCGUUGAAACUGGCGUUCUUGAGAUGUCGAGAGGUAUGCGGAAUGCGCAGUGUAGCGGUGAAAUGCUUAGAUAUCGCGCAGAACCCCGAUUGCGAAGGCAGCGUACCGGCUCCACACUGACGCUGAGGCACGAAAGCGUGGGUAUCGAACAGGAUUAGAUACCCCAGUA
rnacentral:rRNA from 1 species